GGGUUGUGAGGUUAAGCGACUAAGCGUACACGGUGGAUGCCCUGGCAGUCAGAGGCGAUGAAGGACGUGCUAAUCUGCGAUAAGCGUCGGUAAGGUGAUAUGAACCGUUAUAACCGGCGAUUUCCGAAUGGGGAAACCCAGUGUGUUUCGACACACUAUCAUUAACUGAAUCCAUAGGUUAAUGAGGCGAACCGGGGGAACUGAAACAUCUAAAAUUACCCCGGAAAAGAAAUCAACCGAGAGAUUCCCCAGUAGCUGGCAGGCAGACAGGGGCAAUGGAGCCUGAAUCGGUGUAUUGUGUUGAGUGGAAGCGUCUGGAAAGGCGCGCGCGAUACAGGAGUGACGGCCCCGUACACAAAAUGCACAUGCUGUAGGCUCGAUGGAAUGGGCUGGGGACACGUAACAUCCUGUAGAAUAUGGGGGACCAUCCUCAAGGGCUAAAUGCACUCCUGACUGACCGAUAGUAGACCAAUUUACCGUGAGGGAAAGGCGAAAAGAACCCGAAGCGAGGGAGUGAAAAGAACCUGAAACCGUGUACGUACAGAAGCGGUGGGAGCACGCCUUGGGCGUGUGACUGCGUACGUAUAAUGGGUCAGCGAGCUUAUAUUCUGUAGCAAAGUUAAUAACCAGAUAGAGGCCGAGAAGAGAACCGAGUCUUAACUGGGCGUUAAGUUGCAGGGUAUGGACCCGGGAGCAGUGAUCUAGCCAUGGAAGCGGGUUGGGGUUGGUAACACUAACUGGAGGACCGAACCUAAUGUUGCGAAAAUUAGCGGAUGACUUGUGGCUGGGGUAGAAGAAAGACCAAUCAAACCGGGAGAUAGCUGGUUCUCCCCGAAGCUAUUUAGGUAGCGCCUCUAUUAGAUUCAUCUCCCGAAGGUGGGAGGCACUGGCUUUCGGCAGAGGUCAUCCCGACUUACCGGAAGUGGUAGGCUGCGAAUACCGAGGAGAAUGUUAUCACAGAGGAUUUUUACAGCGAAAGUGCGCUUAACGUCCGUCGUGAAGAAACAACCCAGACUACGCAAACAGGUCCCAAAGUCGUAGUUAGAGUGGGAAAAACGAUGCCGGAAGUGAACAGCGGGAUGUUGGCAGAAGCAGCCAUCAUUUAAAGAUAGCCAAGCUCACUGGUCGAGUCGGCCUGCGGAAGAUAUAGCAAGGGCUAAAACCAUUGCACCCAGAGCUGCGGGCAGCGACGCUUAUGCGUUGUUGGGUAGAGGAGCGUUCUGUAAAGCCUGUGAAGGUGUGUGUGUGCUGUAAGGCAUGCUGGAGGUAUCAGAAGUGCGAAUGCGGCAUAAGUAACGUCAAAGGCGGGUGAAAGCCCGCUCGCCGGAAGACCAGGGUUCCUGUCAACGUGGAAAUCGGGGCAGAAUUGGGGAGUCGACCCCUAAGGCGAGGCCGAAAGGCGUAGUCGAUGGAAACAGGUUAAUAUUCCUGUACUUGGUAUUUACUGCAGAAGGGACGGAGAAGGCUAUAUUGGCCCGGGCGACGAAUUUGUCCCAGUUUAAGCGUAUGGGCACAGUUUUCCGGGCAAAUCCGGAAAAUCAAGGCUGAAGGCGUGAUGACGAGGCACUGCAGUGCGCACAAGGCAACAAAUGCCCUGCUUCCGGGAAAGCCUCUAAGCAUCAAGGUAACAUCAAAUCGUACUGAAACCGACACAGGUGGUCAGGUAAGAGAAUACCAAGGGCAGCAGAGGAACUCGGGUGAAGAGACUAGGCAAGAUGGUGCCUUCCGGGAGAGGCACGCUGAUAUGGGUAGAGUCCCUCGCGGAUGGAGCUCAGAAUCAGUCAGAGAUACCAGCUGGCUGCAACUGUUUAUUAAAACUGGCGGCUGUACAGAGCACGAAGGUGGACGCCGCAGUGUGACGCCUGCCCGGUGCGGAAGGUGAUGGGGUUAGCCUGGGGCGAGGCUCUUGAUCAGAAGCCAGUAAGAGCAGCGGCCGUAACUAUAGCAGUCCCUAAGGUGGCAAAAUUCCCCUUGUCGGGUAAGUUCCGACCUGCACGGAGAUGGCAUGUGAGUGGCGGGCUAUCUCCGCGAGACUCGAAGUGAAAUUGAACUCGCUGUGAAGAUGCAGUGUACCCGCGAACGAGAGACGGAAGAGACCCCGUGAACCUUUACUGCCAAUUGACACUGGAACAUUGAGCCUUGAUGUGUAGGAUAGGUGGGAAGCAGAGUGUGGACGCAUGAUGCAUGGAGCCGACAGCAGAAAUCACCAGCACAAUGGUGAUGUUCCCACAACGUUGACCCGUAAUCCGGAGUUGCGGACAGUAUCUAGUGGGUAUUGUUGUUAGUUUAUUUCAGGGCGGUCUCCUCCCUAAAGAGUAACGGAGGGCACGAAGGUUGGCUAAUCACGAGUCGGACAUCAGGAGGUUAGCAGUGCAAUGAAAAGCAUAAAAGCCAGAAACGGCUGCGAGCGUGACGAAAGCAUUUGCAAAACCGAGUCCGUAUAUGAUGAUCAGUGGUUCUGGAAUGGAAGGCCAUCGCUCAACGGAUAAAAAAGGAAUUACUCCGGGGAUAACGGAAGGCUGAUACGCCCAAGGUUAUAUCGACGGCGGUGGUAACCUCGAUGUCAGCUCAUCACAUCCACAGGGGCUGAAGUAGGUCCCAGGGUAUGGCUAUUCGCCAUUUAAAGAGUGAGUACGCGAGCUGGGUUUAGAACUUGUCGUGAGGACAGUUCAGGUCCCUAUCUGCCGUGGGCGCUGGAGAGGAGACUGAGGGGGCUGCUCCUGAGUACGAGAGGGACCAGGUGGACGCAUCGCUGGUGUUCGGGUUGUCAUGCCAGUAGCUGCCAGUAGCUAAAUGCGGAAGAGAUAAGUGCUGCAAGCAUCUGGCACGAACUUGCCCGGAUAGAGUUCUCCUGGCUCAUGAGGAGUCCCUGGAAACGGUGAAGAUGACGACGUUGAUAGGCCAGGUGUGUAAGCGCAGCGAUGCGUUGAGCUAACCGGUACUAAUGAACCGUGAGGCUUAACCUUACAACGCCGAAGGUGUUU
rnacentral:rRNA from 1 species